rnacentral:rRNA from 1 species
UACGUAGGUGGCAAGCGUUGUCCGGAUUUAUUGGGUUUAAAGGGCGCGUAGGCGGCUUUGUAAGUCAGUGGUGAAAUACUCCAGCUCAACUGGAGAGGUGCCAUUGAUACUGCAGAGCUAGAGUACUGAUGAGGUAGGCGGAAUGGACGGUGUAGCGGUGAAAUGCUUAGAUAUCGUCCAGAACACCGAUAGCGAAGGCAGCUUACUAAAGAGUAACUGACGCUGAGGCACGAAAGUGUGGGGAUCAAACAGG